UAAAAGAUAGAUUUUGUAUUUUUUAGUAUUGCAUACUAUUUAAAGAAAAUUUUAUUAAUUUAUAAAAAAUAGAAUUAGAAGGUAGAAAAUUCAUUGGUUUUAUUGUUUCAUAAUAAAAAUUAUGAAUUUUAGAGUUGAAAAGUCGACUUUUAAGAUACUUGUUUUUUGUUUAAAUAUUAGAAAUUUAUAUAAUUAUUAAAAAAUUUAUAUAAAAAGUAAAAGUUGAAGUAUUUUUAAGAUUUAGUUUUAUAACUGUUUAUAAAAAAAAGUUUACAAAAUGGAGAGUUUUGAUUAUUUAUUAAUAUAUUAAUAAAUAAAUUAUUUUAAAAUUAGUAGUUCACAAUAAGUUAAUGUAUUAUUAAUAAAUAUAAUAAAAUAACUAAAUAGUUAAUCAAAUGUUUUUUAAAGACUUAGACUUUUUAGUAAAGUUUGCUUCUGCCCCAUGAAAAAUUUUAAAUGGCAGUCUUAGCGUGAGGACAUUAAGGUAGCAAAAUAAUUUGUGCUUUUAUUGGGUUCCAGUAUGAAUGAAGUUAUUGGUUAAUUAUCUUUUUAUUUUAUUAUGAAUUUUGAUUUAAUAUAAAAAAUUAUUAUUAUAAUAACACAAAGAUAAGUCUUCGGAAAUUCUUUUUUGAUGUUAAUUGGGUUUAAUUGACAUUAAAAAUUUUCUAGGGCAGAAUUUUAUAUAAUUAAAAAAUCUAUUGUUAAGUAUAAGAAUUACUCCGGAGUUAACAAGAAAAUCAUAUCUAAUCUAGUUCUUAUAGUAAGAUAAGUUUUACAUCGAUGUUGUAUUUAAGUUUUUUAAAGAAGGAGAAGAUUUAAGUUUUAAGACUGUUCUUCUUUUAAUUAAUUUAACGUGAUAUUAGUUUAAUUCAUUGUGAGAUAGAAUUGUUUAUCUUGGUUGUUAUUGUGUUUGAGUUUUAAUAGUACGAAAGGAAAAUUAAAAAAAGUUUAAAACUUUUUAAAGAAUUUAUUCUUA
rnacentral:rRNA from 1 species